rnacentral:rRNA from 1 species
GGGAAACUUCUGAUAAUACUGGAUAAGUUAGUAGUAGCAUUACUAAGUAAUGAAAAGGUAGUAAUACGCUAUAUGAGAGGCUUUGCAUCCCUAUUAGCUAGUUGGUGGGGUAAAAAGCCUACCAAGGCGAUGAUAGGUAGCCGGCCUGAGAGGGUGGACGGCCACAAGGGGACUGAGAUACGGCCCUUACUCCUACGGGGAGGCAGCAGUGGGGAAUAUUGGACAAUGGAGGCAACUCUGAUCCAGCAAUUCUGUGUGUGUGAAGAAGGUUUUAGGACUGUAAAACACUUUUAGUAGGGGAAGAAAGAAAUGACGGUACCUACAGAAGAAGCGACGGCUAAAUACGUGCCAGCAGCCGCGGUAAAU